CAGUUAUAAUUCUGCAGAGUGUGGCCACUGCUUCUCCCAUCCUCCUUUCCCAAGGACGGUGGGGAUUGCUAUAGGGCUGGUAGGUAGUUUACCGUCCCUUCUAUAGGCAUAGAUUUGGCACUGACAUCACAGCUUCAUAACCCCCACCACGGCCAGCUUCCCCUGCCUGUUAUCCUAGAUCCAGUCUGUUCUUGUUCAUUGAGAAUCCUGUGUUCCCACUUCAGUGACACCUGAAUUUUUUUUUAAUUGUCUUCAAGGAGGCCUCAUCUGGUUGUGUACCUAGUCAAAUCCCCAUGAUAUCUCAGUAGAAGAAAGAAGGAGGAUCUUAAAACUUCAGGGAAGAAAUAAUUUCUUCAACGAAGACGAUAUAAGGUUGACACCAGAACUCUCAUGAGAAAACUGUAAACCAGAAGACAAUAACUUAACAACUUAUCCGUAAUUAUUUCUAAUCUAGAUUUCUAUACUCAGAAACUUUGUAAAGCUGUCUUUAGCUAAAUGAGAUAAAGAACUUGUAUCUCCGUCAAUCUAUUAUCUUAGGAAGUUACUUGAAGAAGUUUUCCAUCAAACUGAAAUAGAAAACCAAGAGAACAGAAGACAUGGGCUCCAGAAAACAGUAGCUCCAAUGUGAAAGAUCAAUACAGUUCACUAUCAGGAUGCAAUCAGCUCAUCCAGCCAAAAAAUCAAACAGACCAUAUUUAGUGCAGGAAAUUCAGAAACACCUGGAGGGGAAUUUCAAGAAAAAACAAAGGAAAGCAUGUAAUGAAUUGGAUUGGAUAAUAUAUGGAGAUGUUGGAAAUAAUAAUAUAUUAAAGGCUAUAAAUACAAGAAAAUCAAUUAAACAAUGAUAAUGGAAUCAUGAGGUGGAAAAGGAAAGGCUGCAAUACCUGAACUUAAAAGUAGCAAUUUAAUAUGAAGCAAAGGGAAGAUUACAUGGUAGUGAGCAACUAAUGUAGUGUAACUAGAGAAUCUAUUUGACCUGGGUAUCAGAAACAUUUCCCUUAAGGGGCUAAAGAGUAUUAACUCUACAAAGUGCACAUGACCCUAAAACACUAAGUAAUCUGUCAUUGAAAAAUAAAGUGUACAUUUAUUUGUAUUCACUUUAGAGUUAACCAGUGACUAAAGCAUAGGAACAUUGGUUGGGGCCAAAAGGGAAAAGUGUGAAUUCUGACAGCUUUAAUCAUAAUUUUAAAAAUGAUUCAAUAACUAAUAGAAAGUAGAAUAUAAAAGGCUGAGUGUGAUAAAGAAGGUGAGUGCAAGGGUAGUGGAAGUUAUAUUUCUGUUACAAAAUGGGAAAUUAGACAUAUUUUCAGACAGUCAAAUUAUUAAAAAUACAAAGCAAUCCAACAGUAAAACAGAAAUUCAAAUUCAGAGGAGAAAAGAUAGGUGUAGUUAGCUUCAGUAAUGUAAAUCCUCAUCUUUCAUAUUGAGAAUUAAACAGCAAUGGUCUUAAGUUGGUCAUUAAAAUGGUGUUGUAAACCUACUGUGUAGCAUUAUGGAGAUAUUCCCGUAAAUAAUAAAAUACAAAUUUGAGAAAUAUUAUUACAUUUACAAAGGUGUUAUACUAUUCUAAUAUGUACAAGAGUAAAAAUAAGAUUGGCAGCUGCGGGGAGAUGCGUGCAAAAGAGCAUCAGUGAGAGGUAUAAUUUGGGAGAGUGAGCCCUCAGGAUCCAGAGAGGAAAUUGUUAAUAUUAUUUAUUAUAUCCUUAGGGCCAUAUAUACACAGGGCAGAAGAGAACUAAUUAUGCCAAAGAAAUGUUCUUCCCUAUGGACUUGACACAAUAAUGGAGCCUCUGAUUUCUUUCAAAAAGUAACAAGCUGAAGAGGUUUAGUAGAAGCCAUUUUUAUUAGAAGGCUUGAAGGAAUUACAGUGUUUUGGACAAGGAACACAAAGAAAAUUGAAACUAAGUUUUGUAUAUUUCAAUUUAAAGUCUGCUUUAACAGGUAAAGUAGGGUAAAGUAGUGGAAAUUUGAUAAUACGCAAAAAUGUUUCUAUAUUUUGCAGAAAGAAACCUGGAGAAAUUGUAAUAGGAUGUAAAAGUAUGUAUAUAAUUUAGAAUUAACAGGAAAAAAAAAACUCAGUGCCUUAAAGAAGGAGCUGAUUUCAUUUACAUCACAUAGGAUAAACUAAUAGAAUUUUAAUAUUAAUACCUUCAGUACAGUGAAUUAAUCUCAGGAUAACCGUUUAAAUGUUUAGCUAGUUCAUUUUAAAAUAGAAGGUGUAGUACUUUACUUACUGUAUAGCCUAGAGAUUGCACAUAGAGAUGAAGGAUUAUGAUAUUAAAUCUAGAAACACAUGUCUUUAUGUUUGGGGGCAACCUAAGUGUAUAUGUAUAAGGUGACAAUGUGUGUAUGAUUAUGACUAUUUAUUAACCAUCACUAUGAAAAUGUAAAAUGUAGUGAAAGUAUUUGUAUAACUUAACUGAACCACUAUGAGUUUUUUGUUUUAUUUUGUUUUUUCAAGACAUGCUCUUCCUGUGUCAUCCAGGCUGGAGUGCAGCGGUGCAAUCACGGCUCACUGCAGCCUUGAACUCCCAGGUUCAAGUGAUCCUCCCACCUUAGCCUCCUGUGUAGCUAGGACUACAGGCAUGCAUCACCAUGCCCCAUGCCACCACGGUUACCACACCUUGCUAAUUUUUGUAUUUUUUGUAGAGACGGGAUUUUGUUAGGCACACCCAGGCUGAUCUGGAACUCUUGGGCUGAAGCCCACAUCCUCUUAUAGUGCUGGGAUUACAGGUGUGACCCACUGUUCCUGACCACCUCUAUGAAUUCCUAAAUAUACUAUAUGAAUUACGCUAUUUUCCUUUGUCUGUAUUCACAAGUGACAUUCACCUGAUGAUUUACAUAUUUUAUUUUGCGUAUAUUUUCUUUUCUUUGUUCACAAAGAAUAUAGAAAUGACAAUACGUGUUAAGUAGGUCCCAUUUCUUCAUUCCAUUGUGUUUGAUGUUUUAGUAUCAUUGGUAACAUUGUUUUUUUGUCAGAACAUUCUUGACUAUACAAGAGUCGAUCAUUUAAAGCUACUUUCAUUAUAAUCUUCUAAAGUACUCUUAGGAGAUAAUCAGGAAAAAACAUACAGAUAAAUAUAUAGAUAUGUUGCGGGAAAUCAGGGAUUCUGAACAGAGGGACCUGCUGAAGCUGUGACAGAAUAACAUAAAUUGUGAAGAUUUCAUGGACAUUUAUUCAUUCCCCAAAUUAAUACUUUUAUAAUUUCUUAUACCUGUCUUUACUACAAUCUCUGAACAUAAAUUGUGAAGAUUCCAUGGACAUUUAUCACUUCCCCAAUCAAUACUCUUGUGAUUUCCUAUGUCUGUCUUUAAUCUAUUAAUCCCAUCAUCUUCAUAAGCUGAGGAUGUAUGUCGCCUCAGGACCCUGUGAUGAUUGUGUUAACUGCACAAAUUGUUCAUAAAGCAUGUGUGUUUAAACAAUAUGAAAUCUGGGCACCUUGAAAAAAGAACAGGAUAACAGCGAUGUUCAGGGAAAAAGGGAGAUAACCAUUGGGCCUGACUGCCUGAGGUGCCAGGUGGAACAGAGUCAUAUUUCUCUUCUUACAAAAGCGAAUAGGAGAAAUAUCGCUGAAUUCUUUUUCUCAGCAAGGAACAGCCCUGAGAAAGAAUGCAUUCCCAGAGGGAGGUCUCUAAAAUGGCCACUCUAGGAAUGUCUGUCUUAUACGGUUGUAAACAAGGGAUGAAACAAGCCCCAGUCUACCGUAGGGCCCCCAGGCCUAUAGGAUCAGGAAAUUCCUGCCUAGUAAAUUUUAGUCAGACCGGUUGUCUGCUCUCAAACCCUGUCACCUGAUAAGAUGUUAUCAAUGACAAUGCGUGCCCAGUGGGACAUGAAAGUUAAUUAGCAAUUUUAAUUUCAUCCUGGUCCCAUGAUCUCGCUCUGCCCCCAUUUGCCUUGUGAUAUUUUAUUGCCUUGUGAAGCAUACAACCUCUGUGACCCACACCCUAUUCAUACACUCCCUCCUUUUCAAAUCCAUAAUAAAAACUUGCUGGUUUUGUGGCUUGGGGGCAUCACGGAACCUGCUGACAUAUGAUGUCUCCCUUGGACACCCAGCUUUAAAAUUUCUCUGUUUUGUAUUCUUUCCCUUUAUUUCUCAGACCAACCGACACUCAGGGAAAAUAGAAAAGAACCCACGUUGAAAUAUCGGGGGCUGGUUCCCCCGAUAUAGAUAUAUUUUUAAAAUCGAAGAGACAUUAUAAUGUUAUUUUAUUGUAUCUCUUAUUGAAUGGGACUUUCCUUUCUUUCUUUCUUUCUUUCUCCCUCUCUCUGUCUCUACUUCUUCCUUCCUUCCUAGCUUCUUUCCUUCCUUGCUUCCUUUCUUUGUUUUCUUCCUUCUUUGGAUAUUGCUGUGAACACAGCGUAUAGACAAAGUAAAAUCCUCUCUGCUAAAAUCAUGUGUUUAUGCACAUAAUAGGCUAACACUAUGGAUAUGCAAUCUACCAUUUGAAAAUAGUUCAUUCCAGACUAAUCUCACUUUAUUCACGAUUGUUAUAUCUUGACAUAUGUCCCCCCAAAACUUCAUAUGUUGAAUUGUAUUCCAAAACGUCAGACUUUGACUGUCUUUGGACAUAGGACCUUUAAAGAGGUCAUUAAUUUAAAAUGUCUUUAGAAUAGACCCUAAUCCAGUAUGAUUUAUCAGAAAAGGCAAUUAGGAUACACAGUGGGUCAACCUAUGUGAGGACACAACUAGAAGGAGGCCAUCCUCAAGCCAAGGAAAGGGGCCACAGAAGAACUUAGCUUGCCAAUGCCAACACCUUGAUCUUAAACUUCCAGGCUUCCGUAAUUGUGAGGAAGUAUUUUUACGUUGUUUAAACUACCCAGUCUGUGUUAUUUUGUUACAGCAGACCUAGUAAACUAAAACAACAACUUAGAUGCUUGUGCGUUUAAAGGUUGUAACUUUAACAUGCUUUCUUUUUGUUCAUUCACUCUCAUGUAUGUGUCUGCAUUCUCUUAGGUUAACUUUUUCACAUGUAUGACUUUGAGUACAAUCUUAUUGCUGCUGAUGCCGACCAAACCUUAGCCUCUAAUAAUUUAGACUCAUAUAAAACUGAUUAAUGGAUAUAUAAUUUAUUGUUGCAUGGGUUUCACAAACUCAGGAUGUCCCAAAUGAAUUCUUCAUUUUUUCUACAAUUCUGUUCAUGUGCUCGCAUACUUUCUACAGCAGUAAGUGGUGGGAUAUUCUAGUAAGUAGACCAAAUAUGGGAAUCUAUAAUUUCUGUGGCAAGUGCAUAGUCUAUUAAUUACUAUAAUGUGAUCUUGUCCAGUUGCACAAGUCCCCCAAUUAUAAUUGUCUCCCAUUAUUUUAUAUUUAGUCUUGAAAUUUCACUUAUAAAUAAAAGAAUUAGUUUUUCAAAUUUAAUAUAAACAAGAAACCAAUACCAAACUAAACAAGCACAAAACAAAUAAAAACGAUUAUAAUAUUUAUUAGGAUUGCCUGGAAUGUAAACAUAAAUAUGAGUAUAGUUAAUAUCUAAAUGAUAUUGAGACUUCAUAGUAGCCAUGAAAUUUUUAUAUAUUUUAAAUUAUUCAGGUGUUAUUUUCUUUCAGUAUAGUUUUAUAAUUCUCUGGAUACCUUUCUUAAAUUUAUUAUUGAAUUUAUGCCUAUGCAUUUUAUAUUUUUAUUAAAAUUAUAAGUGACAUCCUCUAUUAAAGAAUAUUUUCUAAAUGACUAUUGCUGGUUUAUAUAAAUGUAAUUUAUUUUUGCAUUUAAUUUAUAUUUAAUGUAGGUAUUUUGAGUUUUCUUUGUAGGAGAUAAUAUAAACUGCCAAUAUUCAUGCUUUUUCUUAUUAAACACUUUAUACCCAUUAUUGAUUUUUCAUUAUGUACUCCACAAUAUCUUUUAUUACAAAGUUGUUGUUAUCUUUUCUAUUGUUCAGGUUUUAAUGAAAUUCUUAGUAUUUUACUGUGAUGUUUACUGAAGGUUUUUGUAAAUACCCUUCAUUACGUUAAGUAAGUUUUCUUCUUUGAUAUGUGGUAAGAAUUUUUAUUAUGAAAGCAUUUUAAUUUGUUCAAAGCUAUUUUCUGCUUCUAUCAACAUGACAUUAUGCUAUUACUUUUCCUUAAUUAUUAACAUGGUGAAUAUAUUUUAUUAAUUCUGUAAUAUCAAACUUUACAUCCUUAUAAGUAAUGUAAAACAGGAUGUUUGAUUUAUUGAUAUUAGGUUAACUGCUUUUUUUUAACCUGAUAAUUUAAGUACUUUUAAAAUCAUUUGUUAAACCUCAAGAGAAAUGUAUCAAGAUUUCAUUGUUCUCAUAGUUAUUUAAAGAUUAGUAGCCCUCUUAAGUUCUCUGGAAAAUUACUAUACAAUUCUAGUAUAUAUUUUUAAAACUGCUUCUCAUCUUGAAGCAAUAAAGCAUUUGAGAAAAACACUAGAAUCAAGUUCUAUCAUCUCCAAUUAGAAUCUUUGUAGUUUUAGGAACAAUUUUUCUGCCUCAGUUUUCUCAUCUACAAAAUAAGGAUAAAAUAUUACUUAUAUACAUUGUUGUUUUGAGAAUAAAAUAAUGUACUAUAAUAGUGUAUUUUAUAACUGUACAUAAAUAAAUGAAAUGCUAUUGUUACAUAUAAUUACUAUCUUGUGUAAUUAAGUUCUGGUGUAUUUCAG
rnacentral:lncRNA from 1 species